GGAAACAGCAGUUCACUUUCAUUACUAGCAAUCCUUCAAACUCUUCAGCUCUUUACCUUCGAUUACCUCCAGUCUGGAGAAAACAGAAAAAUGAUGGAAACAUGAUUAUAAUGAAGUUCCUGAGAACCUGUGAGCAACGCUUCACUCUGAAUGUUAAUGGGACGGCAGUGAGUGAAACCAGAUGUUUGGACCUCAGCAGCUCAGUAAUACUUAAUGCCAGAACCU